rnacentral:tRNA from 1 species
UGGCUCAGAGGGUAAAGCGUCUGCCUCCAAUGCAGGAGACCUGGGUUCGAUCCCUG